rnacentral:rRNA from 1 species
AUCCUGGGGCUGUAGUCGGUCCCAAGGGUUGGGCUGUUCGCCCAUUAAAGCGGUACGCGAGCUGGGUUCAGAACGUCGUGAGACAGUUCGGUCCCUAUCCGUCGCGGGCGUAGGAAAUUUGAGAGGAGCUGUCCUUAGUACGAGAGGACCGGGAUGGACGCACCGCUGGUGUACCAGUUGUUCCGCCAGGAGCACAGCUGGGUAGCUAUGUGCGGAAGGGAUAAGCGCUGAAAGCAUCUAAGCGUGAAGCCCCCCUCAAGAUGAGAUUUCCCAUCGCGUCAAGCGAGUAAGAUCCCUUGAAGAUGACAAGGUAGAUAGGUCCGAGGUGGAAGCGUGGUGACACGUGUAGCUGACGGAUACUAAUCGAUCGAGGACUUAAC